rnacentral:ncRNA from 2 species
AAAUUAUGAAGAACGUUCGGUGCUGUUUCAUUGUGAGAACAGGUAAAAGGGAAACAGGUGAGAAGCCUGUACGAACUCGUCACUGUAAAUAGAUAUGUAGAAUCAUAGGCUGCGGAUAAUCUGACAAGGCAGCUCAUCCACUGGGAAACUGGGAAGGAGAUUUUAUGUGAACUCUAUAAGUCAGGAAACCUGCCGGUCGUUGGUACAUGGA